rnacentral:rRNA from 1 species
CACAUGCAAGUCGAACGAUGAAGCCCAGCUUGCUGGGUGGAUUAGUGGCGAACGGGUGAGUAACACGUGAGCAACGUGCCCAUAACUCUGGGAUAACCUCCGGAAACGGUGGCUAAUACUGGAUAUCUAACAUGAUCGCAUGGUCUGUGUUUGGAAAGAUUUUUUGGUUAUGGAUCGGCUCACGGCCUAUCAGCUUGUUGGUGAGGUAAUGGCUCACCAAGGCGACGACGGGUAGCCGGCCUGAGAGGGUGACCGGCCACACUGGGACUGAGACACGGCCCAGACUCCUACGGGAGGCAGCAGUGGGGAAUAUUGCACAAUGGGCGAAAGCCUGAUGCAGCAACGCCGCGUGAGGGAUGACGGCCUUCGGGUUGUAAACCUCUUUUAGUAGGGAAGAAGCGAAAGUGACGGUACCUGCAGAAAAAGCACCGGCUAACUACGUGCCAGCAGCCGCGGUAAUACGUAGGGUGCAUGCGUUGUCCGGAAUUAUUGGGC